CCAAGUGAUCGCAUGCAUGGUACCCGAACUUCGGCGCAAAGCGUCAUUGGGUAAAAUGGGAAUGCGGAGAUGGGGGAUCCAAUCAGGGACCCAAAGCCGCAGCCGCCCCCGCGACUGUAAGCGGCGAGCGUUUGGCACCAAGUCACUGGAUCAUCUGAUCUGGGAAGACGUCAAAACGCUGCGACCCGCGAGCCAGGAGACCAGCCUUGCAUAUGUGAAGACC
rnacentral:ncRNA from 2 species